GAUGAAGAACGCAGCGAAAUGCGAUAAGUAAUGUGAAUUGCAGAAUUCAGUGAAUCAUCGAAUCUUUGAACGCACAUUGCGCCCCCUGGUAUUCCGGGGGGCAUGCCUGUCCGAGCGUCAUUACAACCCUCAAGCUCAGCUUGGUAUUGGGCCCCGCCGACCCGGCGGGCCCUAAAGUCAGUGGCGGUGCCGUCCGGCUCCGAGCGUAGUAAUUCUUCUCGCUCUGGAGGUCCGGUCGUGUGCUCGCCAGCAACCCCCCAUUUUUUUCAGGUUGACCUCGGAUCAGGUAGGGAUACCCGCUGAACUUAAGCAUAUCAAUAAGCGGAGGA
rnacentral:misc_RNA from 1 species